AGAAGGGAGGGGGGCUGUAAGAUAUGAAGCACUUUGCAUCAUUGCUUGCCAAUCGAAGUUCAAAGAGAAAAAGAAACUUUCUAAUUUUUUACCAAUUGAUUUUAUCAUAUUGAAUGCUCUACCUUGCAUCAUAUGUAAUCAUUUUAGAUGUGUGCUGUUAAACUUCAUGCAUGUUUAUAUAUUGACUAACAAGAAACCUGUGUUGAAGACCUCAAUAUUGCACACUAUUAUGCAUUAUUAGUUCAUAUAGUCAGAUAUAAUUAUUUAUAGCAUGAAUAAAUCAAUUAUGAUAAAUUGUGUAAUAAAAUAAAAAUACU
rnacentral:sRNA from 1 species